rnacentral:rRNA from 1 species
UGGGGAAUAUUGGACAAUGGGCGCAAGCCUGAUCCAGCAAUGCCGCGUGAGUGAUGAAGGCCUUAGGGUUGUAAAGCUCUUUCGCACGCGACGAUGAUGACGGUAGCGUGAGAAGAAGCCCCGGCUAACUUCGUGCCAGCAGCCGCGGUAAUACGAAGGGGGCUAGCGUUGUUCGGAAUUACUGGGCGUAAAGGGCGCGUAGGCGGCCUGUUUAGUCAGAAGUGAAAGCCCCGGGCUCAACCUGGGAAUAGCUUUUGAUACUGGCAGGCUUGAGUUCCGGAGAGGAUGGUGGAAUUCCCAGUGUAGAGGUGAAAUUCGUAGAUAUUGGGAAGAACACCGGUGGCGAAGGCGGCCAUCUGGACGGACACUGACGCUGAGGCGCGAAAGCGUGGGGAGCAACAGGAUUAGAUACCCUGGUAGUCCACGCCGUAAACGAUGAAUGCUAGACGUCGGGGUGCAUGCACUUCGGUGUCGCCGCUAACGCA